rnacentral:rRNA from 1 species
GAUGAACGCUGGCGGCGUGCCUAAUACAUGCAAGUCGAGCGAACAGACGCGGAGCUUGCUCCUCUGACGUUAGCGGCGGACGGGUGAGUAACACGUGGAUAACCUCCCUAUAAGACUGGGAUAACUUCGGGAAACCGGAGCUAAUACCGGAUAAUAUAUUGAACCGCAUGGUUCAAUAGUGAAAUACGGUUUUGCUGUCACUUAUAGAUGGAUCCGCGCCGCAUUAGCUAGUUUGUAAGGUAACGGCCUACCAAGGCAACGAUGCGUAGCCGACCUGAGAGGAUGAUCGGCCACACUGGAACUGAGACACGGUCCAGACUCCUACGGGAGGCAGCAGUAGGGAAUCUUCCGCAAUGGGCGAAAGCCUGACGGAGCGACACCGCGUGAGUGAUGAAGGUCUUCGGAUCGUGAAACCCUGUUAUUAGGGAAGAACAAAUGUGUAAGUAACUGUGCACGUCUUGACGGUACCUAAUCAGAAAGCCACGGCUAACUACGUG